UACGAAGGGGGCUAGCGUUGUUCGGAUUUACUGGGCGUAAAGCGCACGUAGGCGGAUUGGUCAGUUAGAGGUGAAAUCCCGAAGCUCAACUUCGGAACUGCCUUUAAUACUGCCAGUCUAGAGUCCGGAAGAGGUAAGUGGAACUCCUAGUGUAGAGGUGGAAUUCGUAGAUAUUAGGAAGAACACCAGUGGCGAAGGCGGCUUACUGGUCCGGUACUGACGGCUGAGGUGCGAAAGCGUGGGGAGCGAACAGG
rnacentral:rRNA from 1 species